rnacentral:lncRNA from 1 species
GUCUUCUGCUUCGAGUGCGUCAAGAGCCGCUACGACACGCGCCAGCGCAAGUGCCCCAAGUGCAACGCCGCCUUCGGCGCCCACGACUUCCACCGCGUCUACAUCAGCUGAGCCCCCGGGCCGCCCCCGGCACCCAUGGGUGCUCCCCCACCAUUCACGGGUGCUCCCUGACCAUCCCUGGGUGCUCUGCGGUCAACAUUGGGUCUUGGAGGUUGGUCAACGCCACCCUGGAGGACCGUGGAACCCUUUGUGUGUGCGUUAGGUGAAGACCAUGGGUGCUCCCCGACCAUCCCUGGGUGCUCUCUGGUCAACGUUGGGUCUUGGAGGUUGGUCAACGCCACCCUGGAGGACCACGGAACCCUUUGCACCUGUGUUCGAUGAAGCCCACGGUGCUCCCCGACCAUCCCUGGGUGCUCCACGGCCAACGUUGGGUCUUGGAGGUUGGUUGACGCCACCUUGGAGGACCGCAGUUGGCUUUGCGUUGGCGUCAGUUGAACCCCAGGGUGCCCCGUGCCACCCAUGGGUGCCCCCCGGUGACCGACGGGUGCUGUGGCCCCGCCCCCUGCCCCUCCCCCCCCCCAAUAAAGUGCUUGGAGCCGUAGGCGUGGCUGCGCGUGGCCUCCUUGGGGGGGGGGGGUGAGACCAUAGAGAGGGGGGAAGAAGGGCCAGAGGGGCUGCGGGGCCAUAGAGACCGGGGAGGUGGGCUAGAGUGUCCCGUGGGCACGUGGGGCCGUGCUGGCAACCAUAGAGAGGUGGAGGACUUCAAACCAUAGAGUGCUGGAGGACCUCCCUUCUAGCACGGUUUAACGGAAGACCAUAGAGUCCCGGAGGCCCUCCCUCCUAGAGUCCACGCAGUCACCAUAGAGUCCUGGAGGACCUUCCUAGAACGCCCUCCCCGUGACCAUAGAGUCCUGGAGGACCUUCCUAGAACGCCCUCCCCGUGACCAUAGAGUCCUGGAGGACCUUUUUCCUAGAGAGUCCAACCCGUGACCAUAGAGAUCUGGAGGACUUGUCAUGCAGUGACCAUAGAGUCCUGGAGGACCUCCCUCCUAGAGAGUCUCCACAGUGACCACAGAGUCCCGGAGGACCUUACUCCUAGAGAGCCCACCUCGUGACCAUAGAGACCUGGAGGACUGCCGAAUGGAACCCAAGGGGUGACCAUAGAGAUGUGGAGGACCUUCUUCCUAGGGCGCCCACCCCGUAACCAUAGAGAUCUGGAGGACUUUCCUCCUAGAGAGCACAAGGGGCGACCAUAGACAGCUGGAGGACCUCCCUCCUAGAAAGGCUGCCCGGUUGUUAGCGUAGCAACCACAUAAGCACCAAGUGAUUCUAUGAAGGUGCUUUAUUCAGCGCUGGAAGCCGGGGCAGG